rnacentral:tRNA from 1 species
AACUAAAUAGUUUAAUAGAAAACAUGUGACUUGCAUUCACAAAAUAGAAACCUUUCUUUUAGUUG